GGUUAAGUCAGGCAACGAGCGAGACCCGUACCCUUAUUUGUCAGCUGAUCCCUACGGGGAUCAAGACCCAUUAGGGGGACCGCUGCUGAUAAAGCAGAGGAAGGAGCGAGCAACGAUAGGUCAGUAUGCCCCGAAUCUUCCAGGCUACACGCGGACUGCAAUGGCUAGUACAAUGGGCCCCAACUCCGAAAGGAGAAGGAAAUCCCGAAAGCUAGUCUUAGUUCGGAUUGUGGGCUGUAAUUCGCCCACAUGAAGCCGGAAUCCCUAGUAAUCGCGUCUCACUAUGGCGCGGUGAAUACGUCCCUGCUCCUUGCACAAA
rnacentral:rRNA from 1 species